ACAAAGAAAGUGUGCGUGUGAUCUCAAGGUUAUUUUUAUGAGGACAGAAAUUGCACCUGUUCUGUUUACCACCCUGCAUUGGGACAGUGUCUGGUCCACACUGGAAGCAAGGGCUGCUGAAAUAAGGCAACACAGAUGUAGCAGCUGAACAACAGGAAAGUAUUGGCUCACAGUGCUGAAACCUGGAUGUCCAAGAUAAAGGUCAGCAUGCUCCGUGGGCUGUGAGGUAACAUAUUCUUCAUGCCUGUCACCUCCCUGCUUCAGUGGCUUGCUCACAAUCUGGCAACCCUCUGCUUAUAGACACAUCGCGCUCUCUCUGCCUUCAUCUUCUUGUGGUAUCGAUGAAACAUAAAGUCUACUAAAAAGUGAAAGUUGCCAAGGAAGAUGCCGUACACCUUUAAUCUCAGCAUUUGGAAUAUAGGCCAGAGUGUCAGGAGUGCAGUGCCAGCUUUGUUACACGAGUUUGACGUCAAUCUGGGACAUAGGGCUCUAGUUUUGAAAGAACAAUAUCUUCAUCUUCAUCUUCAUCAUCAUCAUCAGCAGCAGCAGCAGCAGUAGCAGCAGCAUUGAAGAUGCCGAUGUGCUAGCUAAUGCCAGCAUUCAGAAGAGAUGUAAAGCUUUAUAAUGCCUUCUGAAGCGCCAUAGCAAAUGAACCACCAAGGGAAGAACACCAAAACCACAACUUAGAAUUAUAUAU